GAUGAACGCUGGCGGCGUGCCUAAUACAUGCAAGUCGAGCGAACAGAUGAGGAGCUUGCUCCUCUGACGUUAGCGGCGGACGGGUGAGUAACACGUGGAUAACCUACCUAUAAGACUGGGAUAACUUCGGGAAACCGGAGCUAAUACCGGAUAAUAUAUUGAACCGCAUGGUUCAAUAGUGAAAGACGGUUUUGCUGUCACUUAUAGAUGGAUCCGCGCAGCAUUAGCUAGUUGGUAAGGUAACGGCUUACCAAGGCAACGAUGCUUAGCCGACCUGAGAGGGUGAUCGGCUACACUGGAACUGAGACACGGUCCAGACUCCUACGGGAGGCAGCAGUAGGGAAUCUUCCGCGAUGGGCGAAAGCCUGACGGAGCAACGCCGCGUGAGUGAUGAAGGUCUUCGGAUCGUAAAACUCUGUUAUUAGGGAAGAACAAAUGUGUAAGUAACUGUGCACAUCUUGACGGUACCUAAUCAGAAAGCCACGGCUAACUACGUG
rnacentral:rRNA from 1 species